rnacentral:rRNA from 1 species
UAGGGAAUCUUCCUCAAUGGGCGAAAGCCUGACGGAGCAACGCCGCGUGAGUGAUGAAGGUCUUCGGAUCGUAAAACUCUGUUAUUAGGGAAGAACAAAUGUGUAAGUAACUAUGCACGUCUUGACGGUACCUAAUCAGAAAGCCACGGCUAACUACGUGCCAGCAGCCGCGGUAAUACGUAGGUGGCAAGCGUUAUCCGGAAUUAUUGGGCGUAAAGCGCGCGUAGGCGGUUUUUUAAGUCUGAUGUGAAAGCCCACGGCUCAACCGUGGAGGGUCAUUGGAAACUGGAAAACUUGAGUGCAGAAGAGGAAAGUGGAAUUCCAUGUGUAGCGGUGAAAUGCGCAGAGAUAUGGAGGAACACCAGUGGCGAAGGCGACUUUCUGGUCUGUAACUGACGCUGAUGUGCGAAAGCGUGGGGAUCAAACAGG